CCUACGGGGGGCAGCAGUGGGGGAUAUUGCACAAUGGGGGAAACCCUGAUGCAGCGACGCCGCGUGGGUGAAGAAGUAUUUCGGUAUGUAAAGCCCUAUCAGCAGGGAAGAAAGAAGACGGUACCUGACUAAGAAGCCCCGGCUAACUACGUGCCAGCAGCCGCGGUAAUACGUAGGGGGCGAGCGUUAUCCGGAUUUACUGGGGGUAAAGGGAGCGUAGACGGAAAGGCAAGUCAGAAGUGAAAGCCCAAGGCUCAACCAUGGGACUGCUUUUGAAACUGUCAAACUAGAGUACGGGAGAGGUAAGAGGAAUUCCUAGUGUAGCGGUGAAAUGCGUAGAUAUUAGGAGGAACACCAGUGGCGAAGGCGUCUUACUGGACCGAAACUGACGUUGAGGCUCGAAAGCGUGGGGAGCAAACAGGAUUAGAUACCCGUGUAGUC
rnacentral:rRNA from 1 species